GGAGAUUUAGCUCAGUGGUAGAGCACUUGCCUAGCAAGCUCAAGGUCCUGGGUUUGGUCCCCAGCUCCG
rnacentral:tRNA from 1 species